AAGCCUAACUACCAUGAAAACUGAAAAACAGACAGCGACUGACAGCAGUUGAGCAAGAGCUCCGUGUGUCCCUCUCAUCGAUUCCUCCCAGGAUAUCAGCUUUGUGUUCAUCGAAACAGGCCCAGGUUUCGCACUGAAUGAUGUAUGCAUUACCAUUUACAAAUGGAAACGAUUCCACAGCGACAGAAACAAAUGAUGGGGCUUCGUCGAUGAAUUUUCCCUCCAGUACGUCAAAAGAGGGACCGCUGCUAUUCGGGGCAGCCCGAGUCUCUGGAAAGUUAUUUGCUAGACGGUCUGCCUGCAGCUUCCCAGCUCGGUGAGAUCGAGUGAGACAGAGCACAGCUAUGCCUCAUAAAUGAUUGGUUUUUGAUUUUUUAAAUGAAGAUUUCCACUGCCUCAGACUCCAAAUCAUCCAGGCCUCUGAAGGGAUUUAAUGGCAACUUCUUUGAUGCUGCCGUGUCUGGGAGA